rnacentral:rRNA from 1 species
CGUAGGUGGCAAGCGUUGUCCGGAUUUAUUGGGUUUAAAGGGUGCGUAGGCGGUUUUAUAAGUCAGUGGUGAAAUACGGCAGCUCAACUGUCGAGGUGCCAUUGAUACUGUAGAACUUGAGUACAGACGAGGUAGGCGGAAUUGACGGUGUAGCGGUGAAAUGCUUAGAUAUCGUCAAGAACACCGAUAGCGAAGGCAGCUUACUAGGCUGUAACUGACGCUGAGGCACGAAAGUGUGGGGAUCAAACAGGAUUAGAUACCCUGGUAGUCCACACUGUAAACGAUGAUUACUCGAUGUUGGCGAUACACAGCCAGCGUCUUAGCGAAAGCGAUAAGUAAUCCACCUGGGGAGUACGCCGGCAACGGUG